UCUAACCGAACAAGCCUUGGAAAGGUUAGGGCUUUUAUCGGAUGAAUUCAAUUUCACAGGGAAAACAUAGCAACAUGGAAAAGUUCCCGCGUUCAAAAAAACAGGGUCUAGAUUGUUUGCAGUUCGUGUUUUUCCUUUUAUUUUUGUUUGUUUGGAUUCUCUAUAUUUUUUUUUCUAUUGUUAUGCAUCCUUUAGCCAAAUAUCAUCUUAAACAAAAGAUGGACCAAGCCAAGAGCUAACAGUUCUGUGUCUUGUAGGUGCAGAGGCAUCUUCUGACCAAUGAAAAUGGUGAAACCAGGUAGAGUAUCUGACUCAAAGAUAACAACGUUUACAUGCAGAUACAAGACAACAAUAUCAUUGUUCUCUGAACACACAUGACCUCCAUUGGUAAAACUGAAAUCGAACCACGCCACAGAAAUACAUAGUGCUCUAGGCAAAUGCAAGAGGAUUCAUUAUUCAUCUGUGGUUGUGCUCAGUGAUCAAUACUCUUGUUCAUCCUCCUCCAGUGACCCAGCCUGUGAUGUCUUCUCGUGGUCAUUCUCAAGCUGGCUGAAGUUCCCCUUCUCCUUGAUCAGCUGGAUGUGGUGGUGCUUGCAGUACAGCUUCCCCUCGUGCGCAAUGUAGUUAGAAGGGCUGAUGGUGCACCCUCCAUGGCAGCACUUGAAGCAGCUCUUGUGGUACAUAGUGUUAUUAACAGUGACCUGGAUGCUUAACCGGUGAGUUGCAAUCAGCAUACUGAUAUUCAUGUACAGUAUUCCUGUCACCUUUCCUUAUCUUUAGGCAAAAAUAUCAAUAAUUGAAACUUUCAGCUUAGAAAUGCAGCAGUUGCUGUCUUCAUGGAUAUAACGAUUUAUUUAAUCUGGGAAUCUUGUAUUUAUGUGAUUCUUGAGUGAGAGAUUUCUGUGACAGGUUGUCAAGUGAAGAAGGCUCAAACUACCGGAAGAAUGAUUGAGAUGGUUGAACACAGAAUCUUACCCUCUCAGUUGGAUAGACUGUCUUGCUGCAUCCAACACAUUUCUCUCUGGUGCCAGCAAAGGCGCUUGAGACUUUAGUAGCAUUCUGCCAAAUAAUAUGCAAUCAUGAUGAGCAUCAUCUAGUGCCAGUUGUUCAUAAAGAACAAAACAUGAAUGGUGUCAACUGGAUGGGUGAUAUGAAACAUGUUUAAAACCAUAUACAGCACUGAUCUAGUCAUAUACCUCAUGAAUAUCAAGUUUUUUUUUUGUGAUCUGUUAAAUAUCUGGUGUUCUGAUCUUUUUAUUGGACAAGAUUUACUCUGUUCUGAUCCAAGCAUAACAGUUAGGUUUUGAGUGGAUCUUUCUCUCUCUAACCAUUGGGAUUGCUGUGCAUUCAAGAUCCAAGCAUCUCACAUCAUGUUUAAGGAGUUGUUU
rnacentral:lncRNA from 1 species